GGGCUCGAACGUAAGAUGACUGUAGGUGAAAGCUUACAUCUCUUCGGAGCAUUUUACGAGGUGCUGCAUGGUUGUCGUCAGCUCGUGCCGUGAGGUGUCGGGUUAAGUCCCAUAACGAGCGCAACCCCUACCUUAGUUGCCAUCAGGUUAAGCUGGGGACUCUAAAGGAACUGCCUACGCAAGUAGUGAGGAAGGCGGGGAUGACGUCAAAUCAGCACGGCCCUUACGUCCAGGGCUACACACGUGCUACAAUGGCCGAUACAGAGGGCAGCUACCUGGUGACAGGAUGCAAAUCUCCAAAGUCGGUCUCAGUUCGGAUCGGAGUCUGCAACCCGACUCCGUGAAGUUGGAUUCGCUAGUAAUCGCGCAUCAGCCAUGGCGCGGUGAAUACGUUCCCGGGCCUU
rnacentral:rRNA from 1 species